GAUGAACGCUGGCGGCGUGCCUAAUACAUGCAAGUCGAGCGAACGGACGAGAAGCUUGCUUCUCUGAUGUUAGCGGCGGACGGGUGAGUAACACGUGGAUAACCUACCUAUAAGACUGGGAUAACUUCGGGAAACCGGAGCUAAUACCGGAUGAUAUUUUGAACCGCAUGGUUCAAAAGUGAAAGACGGUCUUGAUGUCACUUAUAGAUGGAUCCGCGCUGCAUUAGCUAGUUGGUAAGGUAACGGCUUACCAAGGCAACGAUGCAUAGCCGACCUGAGAGGGUGAUCGGCCACACUGGAACUGAGACACGGUCCAGACUCCUACGGGAGGCAGCAGUAGGGAAUCUUCCGCAAUGGGCGAAAGCCUGACGGAGCAACGCCGCGUGAGUGAUGAAGGUCUUCGGAUCGUAAAACUCUGUUAUUAGGGAAGAACAUAUGUGUAAGUAACUGUGCACAUCUUGACGGUACCUAAUCAGAAAGCCACGGCUAACUACGUG
rnacentral:rRNA from 1 species